UACGAAGGGGGCUAGCGUUGUUCGGAAUUACUGGGCGUAAAGCGCACGUAGGCGGAUUGUUAAGUUAGGGGUGAAAUCCCAGGGCUCAACCCUGGAACUGCCUUUAAUACUGGCAAUCUCGAGUCCGAGAGAGGUGAGUGGAAUUCCGAGUGUAGAGGUGAAAUUCGUAGAUAUUCGGAGGAACACCAGUGGCGAAGGCGGCUCACUGGCUCGGUACUGACGCUGAGGUGCGAAAGCGUGGGGAGCGAACAGG
rnacentral:rRNA from 1 species